AGUGAUAGAGGCAGGAGUGGUUUUUUAUAUCAGUAGAUCGGUCAUGAACGGAAUCAGUUGUGAACAGUCAGGUUGUGCCCGUGUAAAAAUACGUGAAACCCAAUCGUGCUCACAAGACAGAAAUUCACUGCGUGGCUUAAACCAAUGAGUUAAGCCGCCUAUGCUCGACCAGAAGGCAACUUGCCUAAUAUUCUUAUAUGACUAGCAAUAUUUGUCACGACCCACAAUCGAAACCAAACCAAAUCAUCAGCAAUCGUCAAACCACCGAUAGUCGGCACAGCGAUCCCGUUAGCCUUGAGGCCGGAAGAAGGGCCAACAAUGUCACGUGUGCCACCACAGAUAAGCCGACCGGGAUCGGCAACUGCAGCCAACGGUAACCGUGAUGAGAUGAAUCGACCCCAGGAGCAAACGAAUGAUUUUUUCGGAAUCUCAGUACACACUUAAUUUAUUUCGCUGAACUACCCAACAGCUGAUCGAGCUCGGCGAAGUUUUUAACAAAUGUCAGCAAUAUAUUUCGGCAAGCAUUCAGCAAAUAUAUCGAUCUACCGUAAACCA